ACGCGGUGGAGAUAAAAUGGGUGCUGGGCCUUCUUCCCUCUCAAUCUCAAAUAACAUCUACAUUUCAACUCCCACCCUCUCUCCUCACAACAGACCAAUCCCCACCUAUCAUCCCCAUCAAACCCAUCUCCCAAAUCCCAUAAUCAAAUCCAUGGACAGAUCCUCUCAUUCCAUCCAACCACUGAAAUGUGGUGGAGAAACUGUAAUCCCAGAGACCCAUGUUGAAAAUCCUGCCAAAUCAUUAUCUGGGUCCCACCUCAUGGCUCCAGAGCUGCUCCAAGAGCUGGUGUCAGAAGCUCUUGUCUGGAGCUCUCUCAAUGGGCUUGUUGUUGGAGACAAAACCAAUCAGAGAUCUGGAACAAUUCCUGGAGUGGGUCUGGUUCAUGCUCCAAUUUCCCUUUUGCCCACACCAUUUCCGCAGAGUCACUGGAGACAAGCAUGUGAGUUAGCCCCCAUUUUCAAUGAGCUUGUCGAUCGUGUGAGCUUGGAUGGCGAAUUUCUGCAGGAUUCACUGUCCAGAACUAAGAAGGUGGAUGCUUUCACCAGUAGACUCUUAGAUAUUCAUUCCAAGAUGCUGGAAAUCAAUAAAAAAGAGGAAAUACGUUUGGGUUUACAUCGUUCGGAUUACAUGCUUGAUGCUCAAACUAAAGAUCUUCUUCAAAUAGAGCUCAACACGAUCUCAUCUUCAUUCCCUGGUCUUAGUUGUCUUGUUAGCGAGCUUCACAGGAAUCUACUUAAUCACUACGGAAAGAACAUUGGUUUAGAUUCAAAAAGGGUUCCUGGAAACACUGCUGUUAGUCGAUAUGCAGAGGCAUUGGCUAAAGCUUGGAAUGAGUACAAUAACGGCAGUGCUGUAGUUAUGGUUGUUGUUCAACCUGAGGAGCGAAACAUGUAUGACCAACACUGGCUUUGUGCGGAAUUGAAGGAGAGGCAUGGUGUGAAAAGCAUUCGGAGAACUUUGGCGGAAAUAGACAUAGAGGGGAAGGUUCUCCCCGAUGGAGCACUCCAAGUAGGCAAACAUGUGGUUUCAGUCGUCUAUUUCAGAGCUGGGUAUUCCCCAACUGAUUAUCCCUCAGAAUCUGAAUGGACAGCAAGGCUACUAAUCGAGCAGUCCUCUGCUAUAAAAUGUCCGUCUAUUUCCUACCAUUUGGUGGGCACGAAGAAGAUCCAGCAAGAGCUGGCAAAGCCCAAUGUACUUGAAAGGUUCCUUGAAAAUAAGGAUGACAUUGAAAAACUGCGGAAAUGUUUUGCGGGUCUAUGGAGUUUGGUGGACAAUUCGAAUAUUGUGCAGGAUGCUAUGGAAAGACCUGAACUAUUUGUUCUCAAACCCCAAAGAGAAGGAGGAGGGAAUAACAUAUAUGGAGACAGUGUAAGGGAAACCUUAGUCCGGUUGCAGAAGGAAGGGAGCGACGGACUUGCUGCUUACAUUCUGAUGCAAAGGAUAUUCCCCACAGCUUCUCAUGCGUAUCUGGUCCGAGAUGGCAUUUGUCAUCAAGACCAAGCGAUAUCAGAACUUGGGAUAUAUGGUGCUUAUCUAAGGAACAAAGGGAAGGUGGUUAUGAAUGAUCAAUGCGGUUACCUGAUGCGGACUAAGGUUUCUUCAUCGAAUGAAGGUGGGGUUGCUGCCGGAUUCGCAGUAUUGGAUAGUAUUUAUCUGACUUGAUCAAAUUGAGUUGGUGAAGUUAAGGGGUUGAAAUGAGAUUCACACCAGUGGAAUGUGGACCAGUCUUCUACAAAGCAAGCUUUAUUCUUGUGAUGCUACUACAUCGGGUGCUGCAGGUUUCAACGGACAGCUUUUAUUUGGCGAAUAAUAACUGAUUCAGCAAUCUUACGCCAGUAGCAGAAUCCAUGAGCUGGAUUGAAAAUUGAAGGUGAGAGCAUUGAUAAAGAUCUUUGGGUACUUUCAUCUAAUUUCAUUUCACAUUCAUUCUUCUUUUGUCAAAGGCAUUUUUCCUAGAAUGGAUUUAUGGAACUUCUCAUCUUAUAUGUAUCCAGAGCCAAGAUGAUAAAACAGCAAUGCAUACAUGUUCACAAGUAGAGGUUUGCUACGAGUCCUAGGGUUUAAUUUAGGACACAUGCCCUUGAACUUGGGAUCAUGGUUCUUUGAUCCAUACCAUUUAUAUGAUGGGCUUCAGUGGAUGGGGACCCCAAGAAAAAAAUAAAGGAAAAACUCCCCGAUUGGAACA